CAACUUGAGAGUUUGAUCCUGGCUCAGAACGAACGCUGGCGGCAGGCUUAACACAUGCAAGUCGAACGCCCGUAGCAAUACGGGAGUGGCGGACGGGUGAGUAACGCGUGGGAACGUACCCUGAGGUACGGAAUAACCGAGGGAAACUUCGGCUAAUACCGUAUGAGCCCCGCAAGGGGGAAAGAUUUAUCGCCUUGGGAGCGGCCCGCGUCGGAUUAGCUAGUUGGUGGGGUAACGGCCUACCAAGGCUUCGAUCCGUAGCUGGUCUGAGAGGACGAUCAGCCACACUGGGACUGAGACACGGCCCAGACUCCUACGGGAGGCAGCAGUGGGGAAUUUUGGACAAUGGGGGCAACCCUGAUCCAGCCAUGCCGCGUGAGUGAAGAAGGCCUUAGGGUUGUAAAGCUCUUUCACCCGUGACGAUGAUGACGGUAGCGGGAGAAGAAGCCCCGGCUAAUUCCGUGCCAGCAGCCGCGGUAAUACGGAAGGGGCUAGCGUUGUUCGGAAUUACUGGGCGUAAAGCGCGCGUAGGCGGCCAUGCAAGUGAGGCGUGAAAGGCCUGGGCUCAACCUGGGAACUGCGCUUCAGACUGCACGGCUUGAGUCCGGGAGAGGGUGGUGGAAUUCCCAGUGUAGAGGUGAAAUUCGUAGAUAUUGGGAGGAACACCAGUGGCGAAGGCGGCCACCUGGCCCGGUACUGACGCUCAAGUGCGAAAGCGUGGGG
rnacentral:rRNA from 1 species